AGGUCUUGUGACUCAACAGUGAGUCAACAGGCAGACUUUGUUAGUCAGCCCUGAUAACUAGCAUUCCUAUGACCUUCCAGCAAAGACUCACACAACUGCAUGGGCAGACAGUGACAAGAGGGGUCAGGAGAUUGCUAUUUCCAUUUGUGUUCUGCUAAGCAUCCUCACUUUGGCUCUGGUAUGCAGUGGUACAGAAGGUCCACUCUGGAACUGGGGCUGUUUGGACAGGUGUCCUACCAGUGCAUUAUCAAAGAUUUUAAGGAAUCAAAUGAAGGAUGCUGACUCAUUAAGAGGCGGAAUGGAGAGGUGUGAAUUCCUAGCUGACGGCUAUGUAUAGCUAUGGGUUAGUAUUUCAAAAAGGUGAGAAAAUGAUUUUGCCUAAUGUUUAAAAAAUUACAUUUAAGUUUAGACCUGGAAGAUCUGUUUACAAGUGCUUUCAAAAUUGA
ensembl:lncRNA